rnacentral:lncRNA from 1 species
UUUUUUCCCAGGAAGAGGUCUUCCCGGGAAAUUGAAAAAGAAAAUCUGGAAUGAUUUGGCUGCUAGGAUUUUGCUAGUUUCCCAAGUUUUAAUAGUUUAAUUUUCUUAGACCCACAUGGACCAUGGGUCCUUGUGUGGGAGAAGGUCUUGGUGCAUAAUUGCAUAUAUGCAGGACACUAGCAAACAAUACUGAGAGUAAAUUAAGAUUUGGCCAUAUUUGCUGUUUGCCACAUUGUAGUUUAAUACACUAAUUUCCAUCACCAACCUGGACCAGCCUCACCUCCGGGUUCACUCUAGCCACCAAUGGGCUCACACCACCUAGGCUUAGUUUCGACUAUUUUAACAGUUGAUAUUGUUACAAUUAGUUUACUACUAAGAUUCUCAGGAAGGUUUGGUCCCUCAGAAUGUGCUGUCAUACAUGCUGCUUUUCUGGCUUUCUACAUAGUUACAAAGAACAAUGCCAACAUUGAAAAAGAUGGAUGGCUUAAAUUUGUCUGAUAUUUUACAGGGCAGAUAGUCAGUAGUGUUUAGUACUUUACCUAUAGAAAAGAUACCUUGUCAUGUAACUAGGAAGUGGGCAGUACCUGGAUUUGAGUACUGCUGUUUGUUUAAUGAGUUGGGUGCAAAGUACAGAUUCCUAGAGUAUCAUCUCCCGGACGCAUGUUGCCAUGUAUUGUUGGAAAAAGUUAUGGUAAAAGGUUGGGGAAUGGAAUUAUUGAAUUUGAG